rnacentral:tRNA from 1 species
UGGCUAAGUGGUAAAGUGCUUGGCUUUGAACUAGGAAGCCUGGGUUCAAAUCCUGG